CUGCGUUCGAAAAAUCAAACAUCUGCUGGUGUACCUGUCAGCCAAAUUCCUACAGAGAGAUACAGAAGAAGUUGCAAAAUUAUUGUGCAUUAAAUGUGAAAAAUGAAUGCAAGCUAACCGGUCUCCAGAACUUCCGAGAUCUACUGGUUGAAAACAAGCCAAGGAGGCCACAAGUCGGCGAUAAAGACGCCUACGAAAUUUGCUGUAGUCGCAGAAAAAGAAAGCCUGAGAAUAUUCAAGAGGUGAAAAAGUUUACCGGAAGAGGAAAUCGAUCUAUUCUGCCUGAUUUAAAAUCCCAUUCGUACGACAAACCUACAAUUAUAACCCAAAAAACUCUGACUUUCGCCCAAAGACCAGCAAUAAUUGAAAGAAAAAAACCCAAAUGGCACGAGGAGCACGAAAAAAUGCUUAAAGAAAGAGCCAAAGAGCAGAGUUUGGAAAAGCAGAAAAUCCUUAUGCAGAAUCUUAACAAUAAAAGUACAGGGCUGGAAAAGUUUCAGCGUCUCUUCGACUUUAACAAAGCUCAGAACGUUCGUCGAAACCUGCAAUGGGAACAGAAGAAAGAUAGUCCUUAUCAAACCUCUUCAAGAACAGUGAAACCGGAAACGGAAUUGGAAACAGAGCAGAAACAUGAUAAGCAGAAUAUGAUCAAAAAACGUGAGGGUCUGGACAAGUUUCAGCGUCUUUUUGACUUAAACAAAGCUCAGAACAUUCGUGGGAGCCUUCAAUGGGAGCAGAGGGGGAAUAAUCCUUAUUAUAACUCUUCGAAAGCAGUAAAGACUAAGUCUGCUCAAGAAAAGAAACAUCCAAAAUCAUCUUCCGUAAAUUCGGAGCGAGCCUUUGUAAAACAAUUUGCCAACAAACCACGACCUAGCAAGGAUCGAGAGAAGAUUAGAUUUCAAACGCCAUUAGACAAAUACCAGGAAAGCAAAAAAAGAGCAGGGAAGCCCAUUGGAGUACAGAUCUAUUUGGCCCAAUGCUUGAUGAAGCAGCUGCUGCGGUGCCCGAACUGCACCCGACUUUAAGGAGCAGACACAACCUGGAAGUUGCCACGUUUGACCCUCGUAAACUUGACAAAAACUUAAAUAGCAAUUCUUUUGAAGUAAGUCAAAAAUCAGACCAACACACACUCCCAUUUGAUAAAAUGCUUAAGGGUAAAACCGCCAAAAUACCCGAGGUUAAUCCACUUCUAAAAUCAAAUAAUCGUCUUAAGGUUUUAACACCAAAGCCUUAUAGCAAUUCCUUUGAAAAGAGUCAAAAAUCAGACCAACACACAAAGCCAUUUGACAAAAUGCUUAAGGGUAACGCCGCCAAAGAAUCAGAGCUUCAUCCUCUUCUUAGAUCAAAUAAUCAUUUAAAAGUUUUAUCAUCGAAGGAUAUUACAAAAAUCAGAACUUCGCCGAAAGGGACAUCAACUAAGGUGGGAGCAAAAUUUUCAUGGGCUUUUAGGAAAAUUCUUCAGAAAAGACGACAUCCCGGAUCAAAAAUCUUUAAAGAUUUAAUAAAAAGCAGCGAUGUCGAUAUGCCCGAACGUGUUUCUAUUCUGAGAAGUGUUACUAGUUUGGCUGUAGCACAAAAACAUAAGAAAAAUCAGAUCGCAAAGAUGGCUGAAGAAAUGCCUUCUAUUCCUAAGAAGACACAUUCGACAAAAAAGCUAGAGCCAAAUUAUGGAUUUCGCGAUGCGGGAACUUAUAGAGGAAUGAAUGUAGGCUACACAAAACCAUUCCAUAAAAAGCUGAAGGGCAAAGAAACCACAAUGCCAGAACUCAAUCCGGCUUUGACAAGCAAUUUCCGAAUAAAAACAGUAAGUAAAAAAUCUUCUCCAUCAUCCAUCGAGGCGGAUUCUAUAAUUUCCGAACGAACUUUAAAAGACUUUAGUUUCUUUAAACUCAGGCCCGACGUUUCGAAACCUUUUAAGAACCGACAAAGGUCCAAAGAUCGCAGUGUUUCGCGACCUUCUCGAAAAAUACCAGUGGCCAAAGAAUCCCAAAUAUCAGGACCCCUUAGACUACUAAAGCGGAAGCAAAGACCGCUCGGGGAUCCACCUCGAAAAAACUCCAUCCGAGCCAGUAAUUUUGAUCAGACAUCGCUUCAGUCCGGCAUUCGAAGGAUAAAGCUCAAAAAGUUCUAUCACUACAUAAGAAACUCCAAGCCGGAUCAGAAAAUAUGGAUUAAAAUGAACUCCAAGGAUCCGAUUUCGUACCUGAAAAGCGAUAAGAGUUUAUUCUAUCGCAAGUCAAUUAGUCGAACAUCAUCGGAUAAGAACAUGCGUAUUUCCAGGUCUGUGAUCAGCUCAACGAAGAUUUCCAACUCUACGCAUCGGAAGAUGAGGGAAUCGAAGCAGGAGGAGGUGCCCCGAGAUGAGGACGCACACUUAUUUGACACCAAUUUGGAGGACAAUGAUGCGCAAAGUGGCAAGAGCUGUGAGAGUGAGGCGCUCAGAGAUCAGAGCUUGAGGGAUGAGGUGCGUCAGAAUUUCCUCAAGGAGGAGCGGGCUGCAGUGCAGGCACGUAUACAGGAGCUGAUGAAAGAGGUGGCCAUACGUGAGGACUAUCGCCCCCCAAAACCACCGAAGAAUUUUGUGACGGAGAACAUUCUCAGGCUUCAAAAUAGACGGGUCACGAAAAUACCUCAGGCAGUAGAGAAAGUAAAUCACCGAAGAAAGUUCCCCACUUUGAGUGACAUACUGACCGUGCCCGAGGACUCUGUAAAUCUUUCAAGAUUAUCGCAAGGAGUGUACAACAAGAACUUUGCGUCUCCGCAACCCCUAAGAAUUCGUCGAUAUUCCGACCAUUUGGGAAAGAGCCAGCUGGAUAAUAACCAACCUGAGGUUAAGGAAACACCCAUGGCAGAUAAUGUUUGUGAGUUGACUGAACGGAGGAAAUGUGACUGCUACGUCUGCGGUUUGUUUUCACAAGGCAAAGACCAAAAGGACUCGGAUUUCAUUCAGAAAGCAAAGGCCCAAAGGCGUCGAUGUGAACUUCGUGCUUAUUACCAUAAAUUGCGAAGAAGGGAACGUGAAGAGGGGAUAUUGUGCCCAACAAAAUGCUUAAACCUGGAUUAUGAGACCAUAGUCCCAAGAGCGGAAAUGAAUCUAGGGAAUGUCAUGGAGGAAAAACCAGGCACCUUAUGAUAAUCCGUAGAUGUAUUAUCGCUACAGGACUUUUUAUGCUUCUCAAGACCAUAAAAUGUAACAUGCCUUCUUAUUGGUUCUAUCAACAAAAUUUCCUUUGAGCGAUGAAUAUUUUAAGUGCUUUGAAGACAAAGAAGCUAAACCUGCAGAACACCUGCACUUCCUACUAUGACUUCUUGACUUGCGGCAACAACUGUCUGGACUCCUUGAGG